UGCCCAGCAACUCCUAUCCCUACCUCCUCGCAAUACUGGCCGGGGUUCGAGUAAGCUUACGGAAGAUCGGGUAACCAACCCCGGUGGAAACUUUGGUCGUAUGCUGACAGGGAAAG
rnacentral:ribozyme from 1 species